rnacentral:lncRNA from 1 species
GAAAAGUGUGAAAAUUCAAGGAAACAAGUGAAAGAAAAGGUAAGAUUUUUCAAUUAAGCUUGUGAUCUACCUUUCCCAUGCAUUCUUUUGCAUUUUUCAUGGUUGAAUCACAUGAUUUCAUGAUGGGUAUCUUGCUGCUUGAACACUUAAAGAGAGGUUUUGAUGUUUGAUUUGGUUAGAUUUCAAUGUAUUUUAGUGUUUUUAGUUGAUUGGUGAUGUGUAGCAUGAAAAUCAAGCAAGAAAAAUUCAUGUUCUUCCAUCACCCAUCAUUGGCCGAAUUCUCCAUGUCGAAUAUUGAUGAUGAUUUUGAUUUUCUUUCAAGUGAUUUGGUUAGGAAUUAGUGAUUUAUGGUGUGAGAAUCAAGCUUGAAAAAUUAUAGUGUUGAUGCACCCACCAUGGCCAAAUUUUCCAAAAGAAAAUGUGAGGAUGAUUUUGCCAUAUUUCAAGUUAUUUAAUUUGUGUUUGAUGAUUUGGAGUAUUGGGAGAAAAAUGGAGUUAAUUGGAGUUAAAUUGGACAUAUUGGCCAAUUAAUCAAGUGAUAGAUUGAAUUAGGCCAAUACCGUUUUAUUUAGGUACACAAUUGAAUUUGUGUAGAACACCGUGUUUAGACGAUAAUCUAAACAAUUUAUAUCCCAUUUCAUGCAUUAGUAUAAAGCCUGAAUUGAUUUUAUAACAAUUUAGCACAAAUGUAGUAAAUGACUUAUUGUGCAUUAUGUCUAGGUGGUGAGCAUUCUGGCAAAAGUAAAAAGAUAGUACCCGAGGAUCAAGAAUCAGAGUACUCGGAAUUCGAAUCUCGAAAUAGUGAGUAACCUUACUAUCGUCUUAAUUAUCUAAAGUGGUUUUUAUCUGAUUUUGUGAUUUUAUGGAAAAUGAGUUUAAAUGGUAAAUCUUUAUUUUUUUAUAAACAAAAUGUGUUUAAAUGGUAAAUCUUUAUUUUUUUAUAAACAAAAUGUGUUUAAAUGAAAUGAUUUUAUAAAUUAUCUUGAAAUUGAAUGAUGGCUUUGAAAAUAGAGUAAUUGGAGACCAUUUGAUGUGUUGUGAAUUUAUGGUUCUAAUUGAUUGGCUUAUGGCAAUAUUAGCAUGAAUGGCUGAAUUGGUAUUUGUGUUGAAAAUGUAUAAACUGUUGUUUGCCUUGAUAGGCUGGAUAAUGAUAAAAUUGCCAUGUCAUGCUGUUAAAUUUUAUUGAAUUUGUGGGUUAUUGAUUUGUCGCUGCAGUGGACGGGUUCCAUGGACCAGCCUAUUAGAGGGGGCACGGUAACCCUAUUAUAUUCUCACCUCGGUCGGAGAGGCGUGUAGGGUAACUCCCGAGGUACACUUUUAGAGUUCACUUCACGCCAAACCACCACGUGAGGGUGAACUCAGCCAACGCCAAGGAACGACUAUGUUUUUCAAACUAAAAAUAUGUUUAUGUGUAUACGAAACUUUUUAUCAGCCUUGGCGGUCUCGGUUGGGAUAGCCCUCGGUCUAGGUAUCCUUGAUAACUGAGUAUGAGAAUGAUUUUGACACGAUCCAAAGUUUUAAGAAAUUCAUAAGCCAUGUUGAAUACUCGAUUUAUUGAAUUGAUUUUAUUUGGUUGAAAUGAGUUGAAAGGUGACGAAUUACAAUGUGAUAAUUUAUUUUAAUCUGUCUCCAUUUACUCAGUUUUUAGAUAUUUUAGAUGGUAUUUGUUUACUCACUGGGAUUAUAUAAUCUCACCACCCUCAUUUCCACCCGUUUCAAGCUUAGGAUAGUCAGUAGAUAGCUCACUUUGUUGAGGGCUACAGUUGAAUUUGCAUCCUCAAAAACUGUAGGUUCAUAGCCUUCAUUACUUUUGGUCGUUCGUGGGCCUA